rnacentral:rRNA from 1 species
GACGAACCACACAAACGUUAUUCGGAAUUACUGGGCUUAAAGGGUGCGUAGGCGGCGUGGAAAGUUGGGUUUGAAAUCCCUCAGCUUAACUGAGGAACAGCGCCCAAAACUACCAUGCUCGAGGGAGAUAGAGGAAUGCGGAACUUAGGGUGGAGCGGUGAAAUGCGUUGAUAUCCUAGGGAACACCGGUGGCGAAAGCGGCAUUCUGGAUCUCUUCUGACGCUGAGGCACGAAAGCCAGGGUAGCAAACGGG